GCGCGCGCACCCCGCGCGUGCGCCACAGUCCCCUUGUUCUAAGCAAACUGUGGUCUGGACGUUUGGCUUGUGGCAAUGUCUGAGGCGGACAUCCUACUUCUUAACCUUCGUUUGCGCUGAAUCCUGCAGAUCCAGCAGGACAGGCUUGCCUUGUCCUUUUCCUCUCCAAGCGAACCUGCCCUCCGUCCCUGCAAACUACCAUUAUGUGUUGGGCACCGUAGGAAGCACCGAAGGCUUGAAGGCGGUGGUGGCGCCUUUAAUCCCAGCACCCGGGAGUCAGAGAACCGGAUCUCAGUUCAAGGCCUGCCUGGUCUACAGAGUGAGUUCCAGGACAGCCAACGCUACACAGAGAAACCCUGUCUCGGAAGAAAAAAAAAAAUAGUUUUCACAGAAAAAGUAAAACAGUCUUAUGGUGAAAAAUACAGAAAAUGCAGACAAUUUGAAACGUUUUUGUGAGUCUUCUGGACAUGUAGAAAUUAAGGUUUUCUUUAAAUUGGGACAGAUUCAUUGUGCCUUUGACAUAAUUGCAGCUUUUUCUAAAUGCAAUUACUAUCAAUUGCAGUUUUUUCUAAUAAGCAUUUAAAAUAUGUAAUCAUGAAAAUAAUAAUUUCUUGCCAUCUAACAUGACAUGGUAAGUGAACCAUCUAUAUUGGAAGACAUUGCAAGAAAUUGGUGGUUCUCAAAGUUUGGUUUAGACACCUCUGAGGUUCUCCAAGACUCUUUGAGGGUCCAUUAGGCUGAAAGUAUUUUCAUACUAAUACAGAGGUGUCUCCUCUCUUCUUGUGGAGACUUCUGAAGCCAACUCGCUGUUCAGUAUUUCACAGUAUGAAUGAGAACAGCAUAAGGCAAGUUGUCUUCCAUUAAGCCACAUAUAAAAUAUUUGGAAAAAAUUGUGACUGUCACUCUUCAAAGAAGUUAUUUUCAAUAACAUUAUGUUAGCCUGCAAUGUUCACUGUUACAUUUUUAAAUUAAUGGUUAGUAGUUUAUCUGAUUUAUAAUGCUAACAACCAUUGAUAAAUACAAUAAACAAAAGAUCAUUGAUGGGCUCUCUAUUUUAAAGCAUAUAUAGGGGUCCUAUGACUGCAGAGUAGAUGAGACCUGGACGGGAGGACAGUCCAAGAUUUUCUCAUGGAUUAGCUAACAAAAUUAAAACUCAUAUAUCAGAGAAUAUCAUUUAUGAGCAUUUAUGACACAAAAGCAAAAGGGGAUUUAAAAUGACACCUGAUUCGUUAAAAGUGAUGAUGAGGAAUUAAAUCUUGGCAAAAUUUAAUGACUAGAUCAUGAAAAACCAAACUUGGGUUCAAGAUAACUGAUGAAUUUUCAUUAAAAGUUUAUAAUAAAAAUUGACCUUGCAUUAAUUGUAACAAACAGUAAAUGGGAAGAUUUACAAUCAAUUUAAAUCUACUGUAUGUUAUUUUGUCAAGGAAUUAGAUUUUAAUUGCCAAUGCUUCUUUUUAAAUGAAGAUUUGUUAAUUCUGUGUAAUUUGGGUGAAACUGUAUUUAUAAUUACAGAGUCAAGAUACCAAGGGGAGAAUUUCUGCUGGGUUUAAGUCGGACAUGUGUCAUCCAGACAGGAAAACAAACACAAACCGUUAGGUGUGACUCCAGCCCAGGUCCUAGCCCCUGCUUGUUACACUGGUAUCUUUUCCUGCUUGGUUUUACUCUGUGUCGUCUAGCCACGGUAGUCAAAAGAGCUCACUCUGUUUUCUUCAUUCCUUGUUUCAUUCUUUCAGCAGGGCUCUGUGGAGGCCUCCAGGAUAUGUGAUAUUACAGUGGUUCUAAUGUGUAAAGCCCGAGAGGCCAGUUGUCCCUGAUGUCUUUACUUAGCAAAUCUUUCCCUCUCCUUUGGCUGAGUUAACGCCACAUAAGUUAGCAUAACAUUUUCCUCGACAAGCCUUAGACUAGUCCCUAAAUGUUCCUGGUUAUCAUUCUGAUGGCUUCUGCCUGUCUUCAUCACAUGUCACAUAGUUGAAAUAGCAAAGCAAUAGCAAAAAUCUUUCUCAACCAGAAGGUAAGCACUGCAUGAACUGAACUUACAGUUGGAUAUUGAAUGGAAUAAGAGCUUCAUGUCUAAUUACCAGGUGGACUACUGUGCAGCAAAUGGAAAUCGAAAUGUUAGUAUCCUAAAAUUCACACGCUGAGAUCCUAACCACCACCAAGGUGAAACCUUUGGGUAGGUAAUUGGUUCAUAAGAGAAAACCCUUUGGUUUUGUCACCUUUAUAAAAUACACUUAAGGGAACUUGUUGCCCUUCCGUCGUGUGAUGGCACCUAAGAAUCAGAAGGUGAUUCUGUACCUGUCCACACUUGGAUCUUGGGUUUCUCAGCCCCCAAGACUGAGGAAUGAAAUUCUGUCAUUUGUGAGCUACCCGGGGUGGUAUUUUGUUAUAGCAAACUAGUACAGGGAAGAUGUGGUCUCUAUUCUCAUCUACUUAUCACUCAGGUAAACAGACGACAGAACACAGCAGGAAACUUGCCCAGUUUAUAAAAGACCCAGGAAAUCAAGGUUUCUGCGAUCAAAAUCCAAGAGCCUCAUGCCAUUAACACAGUGGUUCUCAACCUGAGGGUCGCAACCCCUUUGGGGAUUGCAUAUUAGAUAUUUACAGUAAGAUUCAUGACAGUAGCAAAAUGACAGCUAAGAAGUAGCCGUGAAAAUAGUUUUGGGGUGGGGACCACCACGACAUGAGGAACUGUAUUAAAGGGUUGCAGCCUUAAGGAGGUUAAGAACUGCCCUAUUAACAACUGAAAAUCCAGCCUCCAGCCUUCAGGAACAAACUAACAGUCUUGGAAUACAGGGCUUUUGGCUCCCUCUGCCCCAUUCAGGAAGGAUACAACUAUGGACUUGGGUAAGUAUAAGCCAACUCAAGAUCGAUAAGCACUGGUUCACUGUUUACUUUUUCCUUGCUCUUUUUUGUUUGCUUCGAUUAUUAUUUUUAUUUAUUUAAGAGACAGGGUCUAGGGCUGAAGAGAUGGCUCAGUGGUUAAGAGUAAAUACUAUUUUUUGUUUUGUUUUGUUUUGUUUUUUGAGACAGGGUUUCUCUGUGCAGCUUUGGAACCUGUCCUGGAACUCACUCUGUAGACCAGGCUGGCCCAGAACUCACAGAGAUCUGCCUGCCUCUGCCUCCAGAGUGAUGGGAUUAAAGGAGGGCACCACUGUGCCCGGCUCACUUUUAUUUCUUAAUAUACCUGUAAUCCAUCCUCCCCAUCCUUGGCCAGUCUCUGUGGCUUGGGGAUGAGGUUGGGAGGACAGUGAGCUACAGAUUAACAUGUCCUGAGAGGUUGUCUUCUGGACCAAGCAACGGCUAUCUUGGGGAGUUCACUUGUGUCCCCAGCAGGAAUGGUUGACCCUUUAUACACCCAAGAGUAGAGGCCUAGAGUAGGGCAUGAGAUUCUCUUGUACCCAGCUGCUCCCUACCUGCUGGCAAUGCUGCACAUGACCUGGGCAAGGCAAGGGAAGAAUAGAGCAAGGGCUCCGUCUGUGUGCCUUCUUCCCUGCUGGGCAAGGCUUUCCAGGGGGGCUGGUUGGGGGAGGAGUGUCCACACCCCUGUAAGUAACCCCUCACCUUGGCUCUGUAAGGAAGCCUAAUAAACUCAUUGGUUCCUCAGAGUGAACUUGGGUAGAAUCUUGCCUCCAUUUGUCACUGGGACCUUGGGAGGAGGAGUAGAUGUUGCUCUCUGUCUCCCCAGGGAAGAGAUUUUAGCCUCACCAUUUCAUUGGCUUAGUUUCUGUCAAGCACACAGGUCAUAAGGCCAGUCCAAAGUCAAGUCUUAAAGGACUGUCCUGGUUAAAGAGAAAACACUUGAUUCCUGUUUUACUUUUUGAGACAGGGUUUGUCUUGGUUACUUUUCCAUUGCUGUGAAGAGACAGCAUGACCCAGGCAGCUUAUAGGAGGAAGAAUUUAUUGGGGCUUAAAAUUUCAGAGGGUGAGUCCGUGACCAUUGUGAUGGGGAACACGGUAACAGGCAGGUAGACAGACAGGCAGGCAUGGAGCAGUACUGGAGCAGUAGCUGAGAGUUUGUGUUGGGAGCUGGAGAGAUGGCUCAUAGAUGGCUGCUCUUCCAGAAAUCCUGAGUUCAAUUCCCAGCAACCACAUGGUGGCUCACAACCAUCUACAAUGGGAUCAGACGCCCUCCUCUUCUCUCUGAGGCUCUCUACUCUCAUGCAGGCACUACACCCAAGUAGAGCUCUUAUAUACAUAAAUAAAUAAAUCUUAAAAAAAAAAAAGAGAGAGAGAGUUUAUGUUGGAUCCACAAGCAAGAGCAGAGAGAAAGACCAGGAAUGGUGUGGGCUUUUGAAACCUCAGAGUCCACCCCCAAUGGCACAGCUCCAACAGGACCACACCUAAUCCUGCUCAAGCAGUUCUACCAACUGGAGACCAAAUGUUCAAAUCUAUGAGCCUAUGGGGGCCGUUCUCAUUCAAACUACCGCAGGGCUUCAUGUAACCCAGCCUGACUUCAAACUCCCUGUGUGGCCGAAAAUGACCUUUAACUCCUGAUUGUCUGGCCUCUGCCUCCCAAGUGCCGGGACUACAAGUGUGCAUCUAGCACCAGGACACUUUGAUAAUCAGAUUAUGAUGCAGUUAACCAAAUGUGCCGGCUCUUUGAGGUCAAGAUUUCCCACAGCGAAAGGAAUAAUGCUGAAAGAAAGGGACCAGGGGACCUGAAAUUCAAGUCUCAUGAUACCUCUUCCCAAGCUACCUCUAAGAUGGAAACCAGAUGUCUUUAAAUUCUGUUACCAAAGGAAAGAGUGGGGCAAGAAGACACACACCUCAUUAAAACGUUGAGGCGACAAGAAACUGCCUGGUGGCAGAGGUGAGAGAGAUGGCUGAAGAGCAUCUCUUCGCAGGCCUCUAUCCUGUGCUCUUGUAGGAUCAUACAGCAUUCUCCUGAGACUCACAUUAGCAUGGCUUCGUGGGUCCACGUAAGGACACCCUCACUUCAGAGCAGAACCAUUUCUUUGCAGUUUAGUGGUGAGUCUUGGCCACACUGAGGAACAUUUUGCCAUGCCAAGUCUUUGGGAUGCUUUCCUGUCUUGUUCAUUCUUCUGAAGCACUAUUUCUCGAGCUUCAUACUACAUGACAUCUUAUCCUCUUUGGCUGCUCAGUUGUUUCCCAACUCUUUCGUUGCCUUUUUUUUCAUUUGUUUGUUUGUUUUGUUUUUCGAGACAGGGUUUUUCUAUGUAACCCUGGCUGUACUGGAAUUCACUCUGUUGACCAGGCUGGUCUCAAACUCAGAAAUCCACCUACCUCUGCCUCUCAAGUGCUGGGAUCAAGGGUGUGCACCACCACCACCUGGACUUGUUUCCCAGCUCUUAAAGAAUUCUGGCUGCUAAAACAUUGCCAAGGAUCAAGGGUAAUAAUAUGUUAGAUAAAACAAAGCUGAAUUUGUUUUUACUGCAGCCAUUGAGAACCUAUCAUUAGAGAUGUUUUGGUUACCUUUCCAUUUCUAUGAUAAAACACAUGAGAUGAUCAGCAUAAAGAGAGGAAAUACUUAUUUUGGCUCAUGGUUUCAAGAAAUUUCAGCCCAUGGUCAGCUGGUUCCAUUGUCCUGGGGCCUGUCUCAGGACAUCAUGGUUGGGCAGUUUUGUUGAUAAAACAGGGCCUUGCAGAGUAGGGAAGGGAUCUGCAGUCAGCUGGUCAGUGGUCUGGCUGGAGAUGACAAGUGAGGAGGUCUCUACUGGGACUGUUCAGCUCUGCCUCACAGUGUCUUAUGCGUGAGCACGCUUUGGGGGCUUGUUCUAAAGGAAACUGAAGAUUCCAAGGGAGAAGAGGAAAUGUGCAACUCACCUGGACAAAUUUGCUGCUGUCUCCUUAGUCAAAGUAGGCCAGCUGAUCAGACCCUGAAUUACUAUAAGAGGGGAGAAUCAAAGAGUAUAGAUAGAAGGAAAUAGGAAUGUUGAGGACAGUAAUUCAGUCAGUUACCAUAGCUACAUAACCCCAAUCAGCCUUUCUGCUAAGAAAUUUCAAGCAUUAUCUUUAAUUUGUCUUCAGUAAUUCCAUUCAGCAAGCCAUCACAGGAAAUAUUGUAAGCCAUUGACCUUGUAGGAUUUUCAAUAAAUCAGCAAAUAAAGAUGCCCUUUUGGUGUUUUACUGAACUUCUUUUUUCAGUCACAGUGGGUGAGACCUAUGUUGAAAAAAAUACUCCACAAAAUGAAAUAUGGUCAUUAUUUUAAAAAAGAAAUUUAAAAAAUUAUUGUAUUAUUUUGUGUGUAUGAAUGUUUGCCUGCAUGUGUGUCUGUGCAUCGUGAGUGUGCAGUGCCCACAGAGGCCAGAAGGGGGCGUCAGAUCCCCUGUAACUGGAGUUACAGAUGGCUGUGAGCUGCCACCAGGGUCCUCUGAAAGAGCAGCAGUUGUUCUUAACCCCUGAGUCAUCUCUCCAUCCCCUAGUAUAGUCAUGUUUACAUGAAUGAACGUGUGUGUUAUCAAGUGUAUGUGUAGGUGGGUACCUGUGCCUGUGUGCACACUAUCACUCUCUCCCAUAUUCCUUUGAGGCAGGGUUCUCCCUGAACCUGGAACUUGUAUGCUGUAAGCUGACCCGGCAGUCAGCAGACUUCAGGAACCCUCUUGUCUCUAUCCCUGUCCGUGCAGGGUUACAGAUGUGGAUCCAGCUGGGUGCUGGGUGCUAGGGUCAGAGCUCUGGUCCUCAGGCUUACAUUUUCCUAGCCCAGUGCAGUCACUAUUGGUGGGCUGUAUUGUCUUUUUUCUACCUUUAUGUUCCGGGAUGAAUCUAGAACAUUUUGGAGGGUACCCUAUCAGCCAUUCCUAAAGGUACUUGUUUGUUCGCCUUUGUUCAUGUCUCAAUGUUCUCUACCCUAGUUUGUUGCAUGGAAUAUCCAUACUCUGGAUUUGAACUUGGUAACACAUCUUUUAAGCAUCCUUCCUCCACUCCCUGUUAGAAGUCUACUUGCAGCUGGGCAGUGGUGGCAAACGCUUUUAAUCCCAGCACUUGGGAGGCAGAGGCAGGCAGAUCUCUGUGAGUUUGAGGCCAGCCUGGGCUACAGAGAGAGUUCCAGGAAAGGCGCAGUUACACAGAGAAACCCAGUCUGGAAGAAAAAACAAACAAACAAACAAAAACCAGAAGUCUACUUGCAGAAGUCUGUGUUAAAAAUGAAAUUUUCUGGAUGCCGUGUGCUGACAUCUUAUUUGGUGAUAAAUUUGUAACUUUACCUUUGGGUCAAACCAGGCAUCAAAGGUCUUGUUCUUUGGAGAAUUAAAUUUGAUAAAUUGUUCUUCUAAAAAUAAUUUUUUUAUGUGUAUGGGCAUUUUGCUGGCAUUUUUGUCUAUGCCCUACGUAUUUGCAGCAUUCAUGGAGGCUAGAAGAGGACAUUUGGUCCUCUGGAGCUGGAGUUACAAAUAGUUGUCAGUGGCCAUAUGGGUGCUUGUGAAGUGAACCCAGGUUCUCUGCAAGAGCAACAUAUGCUCUUAACUGCUGAGCCGUUUCUCCAGGCCACAAAUUGCCUUGUUUUCUAUCAUAUCUUUUUUCUUUUUUGUUUGUUUUUGUUUUUCAAAAUAUGGUUUCUCUGUGUAGCCUUAGCUGUCCUAGAACUAACUCUGUAGACCAGGCUGGCCUCUAACUCACAGAGGUCCACCUGCCUCUGCCUCUUCCACCCGAGUGCUGGGAUUAAAGGCGUGUGCCACCACCACCUGGCCUAUCACAUCUUACAAUAUGCAAAAUGAAGAGAAACAGUAAAGAGUCUGGAGAGAUUGCUCAGUCCAAGGAAGCUUGAGGGUUGAGAUUCAUCUCCCAAACAGGCCACGUAUAUAUGAAUGUGACCUCAGUGUUGAGGACAUGAAGACAGUGAAUCCCUGGGGUUUGCUGCUUAAUUGUCAAGUUCUAGGGCAGUGAGAGACCCUAUCUCAAAAAACGAGAUGGACAGCUCCUGAGGAAUUGUACCAAAGGUUGACACACACACACACACACACACACACACACACACACACACACACACGCACGCACAAGCAAGCACACGCAACUGAAAAAAGAAAAGUGGACCAUUGUCUUUUCUGUAUGCCUGGUUUUGUGAUUGUAGAUCAUUUUAUUACAUGGCAUCUUUCUUACAUAAUCUAUAGGAAAAUGUGUUUCGUCAUUCAACCAUUGUAUUUAAUGCUAUGGUCUCCAUGAGCCUUAAACUACCUUUUUGUUUUAGAGCUGAGGGUAGCCCACUUUUGCCAUCUCUAGGGCUUUGACGCAACAUUUCUUUGUAUUCUUCUGAACAUUUGUUCUUAGUUUCUUGCUUUUCCAUCUUUUUUUGCCUCAGCUAUCUCAGUUUAAAAACAAUCUAGCCAGGCACAGUGAUACAUGCCUAUAAUAUUAGCACUGGAAGGAUAUGGCAGGACUGUCAUGAGUUCAAGGCCAGCCUAGGCUGCAUGCUAAGUCCCAGACCAACCUGGCAGAGUGAAAUCCUAUGUGGUGUUUUGAAUGCUAAUGGUGCCCAUAGGUUUGGGAAGGAUUAGGAGGUCUGGCCUUGGAGGAGGUGUGUCACUGGGGGUGGGCUUUGUGGUUAUAAAAUGCUCAUGCUAUUCCUGAUAUGCUCUCUCUCCUGUCUCCUAUGUGUGGAUCAAGAUGUGAGCUCUUAGCUAUUCCUGCCGCCAUAUUCCUGCUCUGAGCUUUGUCCCGCCAUCAUGGACUGUAACCCUCUGAAAGUGAAAGAGCAAGGAAAUUCUUUUAUAAGUUGCCUUGGUCAUGUUGUUUUGUCACAGCAAUAGAGAAGUAACUAAGACACCCUUUCUCAAAAAUAACAAAAACCAAGCAUCUUGACUGAUUUUGUUAUAAGCUAGAUUAGAUCUUUGGUGGAUUUCAAUGGGAUAUUUGCUGUGGGAUGUUUUAUAUGGCAAAUGUGUUGUUCUGAUUGGUUAGUAAAUAAAACACUGAUUGGCCAGUAGUCAGGCAGGAGGAAGUAUAGGCGGGACAAGGAGGAGAAGAAUUCUGGGAAGUGGAAGGCUGGGUCAGAGACACUGCCAGCCGCCGCCAUGACUAGCAGCAUAUGAAGAUGCUGGUAAGCCACGAGCCACGUGGCAAGGUAUAGAUUUAUAGAAAUGGAUUAAUUUAAGAUAUAAGAACAGUUAGCAAGAAUCCUGCCACGGCCAUACAGUUUGUAAGCAAUAUAAGUCUCUGUGUUUACUUGGUUGGGUCUGAGUAGCUGUGGGACUGGUGGGUGUCAGAGAUUUGUCCUGACUGUGGGCCAGGCAGGAAAACUCUAGCUACAAAUGGCGCCCAAUGUGGGGCAAGAGUUUCCACCUAAAACCUGAGUGUAAAAAGAUUCUAAAACGGAGCUAAAAACAGUUCUUAGUUGUCUCAUUCAAGUAGCAGCAGCCUGCGUGUUUGAGCUACUAUCUACUAUGGCGGGUUCCUGGCAUGCGCGCUCGACCUGCAGUAUGGCAGGAAUGAGGCCUCUGCAAGUGACACAUUAAGCUGCAUGGUGGAUUUAGCCUUUGCUAGUACAAAACAAAAAAGAGGUUUCUGGGCUACACGCUGCUUUGAUAGAAGCAUAGACCCACUAUUUCUGAGAAUUGAUGGCUCCCAGAGCUGGCGGAAAAUGUACCACCGCCAUGUUGGGAAGCUGAAGUGGGAGAAGGCAGCAGCCACAACGCCAUUUCAGUCUUAGAAUUCUGCAGUUUAAAGCAAUAGAUUCACAAUAAGACAGAUUCAGAUGUAAUAGUUUACAAUGUGUGUAAAAUAUAUGUAGGCUUAAAAGAGACAAAAAAGGUGAUAUAUACAGUUAUAAAAACAAAUACAUAGUUUUAAAAAAUAAAGUCGUUAACGAGACAGUAAAAUUAAUAUAAAAAAUAAGCCACGUAAAGAUGAAUAUUACACAGAGAAUCUGGAUUGUGUUGUCUUUGGGAUUUUUAACUGCAGCACAACAUUUGAUUGUAAAAGAUGUUGAGUUAAACCAAUAUGUAUAUUUUAAAGAUACCUUGACUUCAAAAUUUGGAUCUAAGGAUAUGUUGCUUUGGAAAGCAGGCUCUGCUUUUGUUUCCACAGAAAGCAAGAGGCUAUGUAUUUGUUUCAGAUUAAGAUACUUCAGGUUUGACCAGCCAAGACCCCCUGAAAGGUCUCCGAUGACACCAUGGCCCAGAUGAUCCAACAUCCAGAAUGGUUUCAAGGCAACUGGCUCAGACAAUACAGCCUCAUGGACUACUCCAUAAUCCUAAAAUUUUCUUUAUGUCCUCAUAAGAUACAGCACCCCCCUCCAGCAGAAAGUAGUAAGAGAAGCUACACCCAAAUUCCCAAAUUAUAUGUAAUUUUACUAGGUUAAGGUUAAAACCUUUCUUUUUGAAAAAAAGAAACGGGGAAGUGCUGUGGGAUGUUUUACAUGGCAAAUGUGUUGUUCUGAUUGGUUAGUAAAUAAAACACUGAUUGGCCAGUAGUCAGGCAGGAGGAAGUAUAGGCGGGACAAGGAGGAGAAAAAUUCUGGGAAGUGGAAGGCUGGGUCAGAGACACUGCCAGCCGCCGCCAUGACUAGCAGCAUAUGAAGAUGCCGGUAAGCCAUGAGCCAUGUGGCAAGGUAUAGAUUUAUAGAAAUGGAUUAAUUUAAGAUAUAAGAACAGUUAGCAAGAAUCCUGCCACGGCCAUACAGUUUGUAAGCAAUAUAAGUCUCUGUGUUUACUUGGUUGGGUCUGAGUAGCUGUGGGACUGGUGGGUGUCAGAGAUUUGUCCUGACUGUGGGCCAGGCAGGAAAACUCUAGCUACAGAUAUUCAUAUUUUCAAAGUUACUAGUAUAUACGUUUACAGAUGAUUUAAAAAUUAGAAUCUUCAUUUCAGAACUUUAAAAUUUUAAUAUAGGACGAAUUAACUAUUUGGUUUUUUUAAAAUUAAUUCCAUUUAUUUAUUCUCUCUCUCUCUCUCUCUCUCUCUCUCUCUCUCUCUCUCUCUCUCUCUCUCUCUCUGUAUGUGUGUGUGUGUGAACUUGAGGGAGUUGAUUCUAACUUUGACCGUAUGGGUCCCAGGGAUUGAACUCCGGCCAUCAAGCUUGGCUGGAAGUACCUUUACCUGAUGAGCCAUCUCACCAGCCGAAAAUUUACAGUUUGUUGCUUGAACUAAGAAACACAACUACACUGUGAGUACUAUAAUGCCAAAGUAUAAAACUUGAGAGGGUCUUACAUUUUUACAUAUAGAUGUCAUUAAAGUCACUCUAGAAUUUCCCUACUCACUAGUUGGUAAGCUAGCUCUUGAUUCAUUUCCUUCCUCCCUCCGUCCUUUCCUCACUGCUAGAGAGCAAACCCAGGCCUUUGUACAUGCUGAAUAAGUGCUCUCUAUCAUCAUUGAGCUACAGCCAGCGCUUGGGUUUUGAAGACAGGGUCAUAGUAUGUAGCUUAAACUCAUCUCUAACAUGUGAUUCUCCUGCCUCAACUUCCCAAAUGCUGGGAUCGUAGGCCUAUGUCCCAUGUCCAGCUGGUCCAUAGUUUCUUGUAGGUACUUAGCCCAUGAGACAGUACUUAUUUUUGUGAGUGGAUUGGUGAGGAUGCUUGAUGGUUCAAAUGCUUAUCAGCCAUUGUCAUUCUCACUUGUCCUAUUAAUGUUUUGGCUAUUUUUAUUGCAGUGAUCGCCACUAGGGUUUUCAGUGGAGUCAGUCAUUAGUCUCAGGGAGUAAAAUUAAGAAAGGAUCCAUGUGUCUAUUUAUGUAGCAGUCUGCUAGAGCAAUUACAUUUUCUCAUUGCUAUGUGGCAGCCCACUUCCUGUUUCUUAACAGAUCCUCACUCUUCUGACCGCAUGUCCAGCUGUAUCACGGAGGAGACUAUUAAGUCACACUAGCAGUUUCUGUGCAGAUGGAGGGUAAUGGCUACCAAAAUUACCUUCCCAAAGAUAGUCAUCUCUUUAACACUGUUACACAAUGAUGACAUAGGAAAAUGAAGUCUAACAAUUAGAAGUGAACUUGGCGAGAAGAAAAGAAUAUUUAUGUAAGUGAGAAAGGAGAGGUACAACGAUAUAUAUUUAGAAGGUCUAAUCACAAUCACUUAAGAUGACACUCAACUUUGUCAAAAAAUCCCAACAGAAAAGAAAAGAAAAAAAAAGCGAAUAAGGAAAAUGUCUUUCUCUAAGCCCAUAUACUUCGUUCACACCUGCAAUAUGGAAUAAAUCAUUGGCCCUUCACCAAAGCCUUUUGGAUCAAGAAUUGUCGUAAAAUACUUUUAAUUUCCAUAAGCCUUGAGUGUCCUUCCUCACACAGAACAAAUGAGAACAGAUAUGAGCAUGCAUAAACUAAGAAGAGUCAGAUUUAUUGAUAGUAGCAAGAAAUGACAGGUAGUGAUUGAUACUCAGACAAGGACUUGUCAUAUGUACAGAAGACCCCAGAGCUAGAGCACCUAAUUGAGGCCAUAACUAAGAACUUAACUGAAGUGUGAACCUAAUUAGUCCUAGCAAUAAAAAGCAGGAGUCAGAUACUAGGGUAAUAACCUGAAAGAUCAGAGAAGCAGAGGAGCGGCCACCAGUGACCUCUUACCUCUCCAGAUCCUCCAACCGAAAAGGGGUGAGAUCCUGACUCUGACCCACCUCAUCACUUCCUGUCUCUGCCUCCUGAGUGCUGAGAUUAAAGGUGUGAGCCACCACUGCUCAGCUUCUGUGGUUGACUAGUGGCUAGCUCAGCCCUCUGAUCUCCAGGCAAACUUUAUUUUUCAGGACACAAACAAAAUAUCACACAGCACCAGUUAGUGGAGCCAUUGCAUUUAAGUCACUUCGAGUGAUUGUCUAUGACUAUCCGAGCACCCAGGUAGUUUCUUGAAUUGCACCUGUAAAAGCUCUUUCGGAAGAGGCAGCUGGCUUUACAGUGUACUCACCUAACCUCCUCAUGCUGCUUCCCCAAAUUGUCAACUGUAAUCUUGUUUUUGGUAACAGAGUAGGAAAAAUGUAGAAGAUCCUGGGAAGACAUGAACCUGUACUGUCUCUCAGCUAACAACUGCUGGCAACCCUGGGCGAUUGAGGGAGGUCAUAGCCUAUUUGUUAAGGUGCUGAUUGAAACACUGGGACACCGGUUCCUUCCCUUAAUAUAAAACCAAUUUUGAGCCAAGUCAUUUAAGACCUUUUGAAAACUGACUCUAAAAUAGCAUGUGAUAUCCUGAGGAAAAAAAUAAACCAUGAUUUAGUAAACUAGGUGAUCCAUGGGGAAAGGGCAGCUUUAUAUGGUUUUCUUACAGAGAGAGAAGGCGUGGUAGAUAAAGUGAGGCCAGAAAAAACAAAACAACAAAACAAAAAAAACACCUUGCCACAGCCACAUGAUUUCCAGCUUGAAAUGGGCAUUUCCAUGUCUGCAGCCCAGUGAGUGGGUAGAAGGAUCCUCACUGAGCUUAUAAAAUGGAUAGUCUACAACCAACAAUGCUCUUAGGGGCAUGAUGGUGUCAUUUCUUUUUUCUUUUUAAGAAAUGUUUAUUGAUAUUAGUUAUGUGUAUAUGUGUGUGUUUGUGCACAUGUGAAUUAGGUACUCUUAGAGGCCAGAAGAGGGUGUCAGAUCCACUGGAGCUGUAGUUAGAGGUGGUUGUAAAUUGCCAUAUUCAGGUGCUAGGAAUGAACCCUGGUUCUCUGAAUAAGCAACAAUCACUCUUAGCUAUUAAGCCAUGGUAUCUUUUUUUUUUUUCUUUUCUAUUGAGACAGGGACAUGCUAUAUAGACUUAGCUGGCCUGGAUCUCCCUGUAUAGAACAGGUUGGCCUUGAACUCAUGGAGACCUACCUACUUUGGCCUCCAAAGUACUGGGAUUAAGGGCAUGUGUCACCAUGCCCAGCGAGAUGAUCUCAUUUCUCGAUGAACAUACUAUUAUGAGUGCUCCUUCAGAGUCAUUUUGCCACAGGCAAAUUACUGUUUCACUGAAGUGAUGGACAGAGCUGGCCUUCAGUGUCAGUGAUGAUAAUGGCGAUGGUGAAAAUGAAAAUGACGGUAAGAUACGUAGUAAAGCAUGCUCACAGUAAUUUGGCCAUAUGGUAAUGAGCAGUUGACGCCUAUCUGCUCCCCAGCCUCUGUUCUCACUUCAUUUAUCUUGUAAUAACUGGAUCCUGAAUUUUAUAGAAGAAUUACUGCUUUUGAAUUUCAUGGUACACAGUUCAGGGUUUCAUCGUGUAAUGGUGCCUACAGUAUAACAUCACUAAAUGCCAAGUGCUUUUGUGCUGAGAGCUUUGUGAAAGUUACUUCGUUUGAUCUUCAAAAGCACAUUGACAAAAGCUUUCAACGCAUUCCCAUUUUACUUAAAAUAAAGCCAAAGCUCUGUAUGAGGGUUUGUAGGGCCCAGCACGAGCCAUGCCUGCCUUCUUCUGUACCAUGCUCUCCAGUCUCCCCACCACAGCUGUGUGUACCUCAUAGCCUCGGAAUGUGCCACUCUCAAACUCAUUCCCUCCAUAGGGCUCUUCCCUGGCUUCCCUUUGUCCAGACUGUCCUUCUCUCAGACCUUACCAUAGAUGACUCUUUCCUGUUAUUCAGGUGCUGGGUCAAAUCUCACCUCAGAGCCACAGAGAAUUUCUUUGAAAACUGUCUAAAAAAAAUGUCAUUAAUCUCCCUCAUAUCACCUUGUUUUAUUUUCAUUCUAACACCUAACAUGUCAUCCUUAGAAUCUGCAGGCAUGGGCCCUGGGGUCUCUCUACAGAGACCCAAAGUUAUGGAUGUUCAGGCCCUUAUAGUUGACAGUACAGUGUUUGCUGUAACACCAAUCAUCUUGUACCCUCUAUAUCAUCUUUAUUACUGAUAGUUGCUAAUGUCAUGUGAAUGGUUGUCCUAUGGAUUGUUUAGGAAAGUCUGUACAUGUUUUCUCCAGAUGCAACUUAAAAAAUAGUUUCUGUCUGUAAUUGGUUGGACUCACAAAUGGGAAAUUCAUAGAUGUGGAAGGACAAUUGUAAACCAGCAAAUUUUCCCUCUUUUCAAAAAAUUUUUAUCUUUAUAUUUAUUUAUUUAUUUAUUUAUUUAUUUAUUUAUUUAUUUAUUUAUUUAUUUAUUUAUAUGUGUGUGUAUGUGUGUGUGCACACAUGCAUGUGCACAUACGCAUUCAGCACAGUGUGCAUGUAGAGGUCAGAUGAUAAUAUUCGGGAGUCAGUUCUCUUCCACCUUAUGUGGGUUCUCUGGGUUGAAUUUAGAAGAUCAGGAUGUAGCUGAGGAUGACUUUGAGUUUCUAAUCCUUAUGCCUCCACGUUCUGAAAGCUAGAAUUACAUGCAUAUUACCACACUAGGCUUUUGCCUCCUGGGCCACCUCAUCAGAACUGCCAGUAAAAUUUCAUAUUUCUUAAAAACACUCUGCCAUGGACUGACUUGCUCCUGUAGCCAUGCCUUUCCCAUCCUGAUGGACUGAUAUCUCCUGAAAUCAUGAACCAAAAUAAAUCCCCCCUCCUCUAAAACAGAAACAACAGAUCUUUUUAUUCCUACCAGUUGGAAUUCAAUCUUAUUGGUAAUUUGAAUAAAAUCUUUCCUUUAUUACAG